AUACGGAGGAUCCGAGCGUUAUCCGGAUUUAUUGGGAUUAAAGGGUGCGCAGGCGGCCAUUUAAGUCAGCGGUUAAAUCGUGGGGCUCAACCCCAUUCUGCCGUUGAUACUGGGUGGCUUGAUUGCGGUCGAGGUUGGCGGAAUUCGUUGUGUAGCGGUGAAAUGCAUAGAUAUGACGAAGAACACCGAUUGCGUAGGCAGCUGACCAGACCGCAAAUGACGCUCAUGCACGAAAGUGCGGGGAUCGAACAGGAUUAGAUACCCUGGUAGUCCGCACAGUAAACGAUGAAUACUUGUUUUCGGCGAUAUAAUGUCGGAGGCAAAGCGAAAGCGAUAAGUAUUCCACCUGGGGAGUACGCCGGCAACGGUGAAACUCAAAUGAAUUGGCGGGG
rnacentral:rRNA from 1 species